ensembl:lncRNA
AUGGAACUGCUGGAGGAGAGGAGUUUCUGGUGGGCUCCCAGUGGCAUCUGCUGGAGUGACGCUGACCGAGAGACGACAGCCUGGCGAUGGCAGGAACUUCCCAGAUGGCGAGGCGGCCUUCCUUGGCGCCCCGUGUGGAUCCUCCCCGCCGGGCAUCCGAGAGCUGAGUCAAAGGCUACGACCCGCAGAGGGGAUGAAAGCGGGGUGCCGGGUCCAGGACUUGUGACCUGGGAUUAUGGAGUCAGCUUUGGGGAUGGGGAGGUCCAGGCUGUGGCCCCUUUGGCCCCAUGCAGGAAGAGCCUCACUUCUGUUCACAGUGCUGAGAUGUGCAGGACAGAGCAGCCCCGGGGUGUGUCGUGCCACUUGUCCGUCGUGCCUUCUGUGUCUUUUGUGCCUCUUGUGUUGUACAUGCCUUGCCUUAUCUCUUCUGGGGGCUUACCAGAAACCCUGGCAUCACUCAUAGCAUCUCUGGGUUCUUCAGCCCGACGCCAUCGAAGCUUUGCCUCCGGAGCUCUCAGAGGCCUUGGAAUCGCGUCUGUUUUGAAAAGCAUCCGAUGGGAUGUGUUUUAGAGGUCUUGUUCUGAGCUGUGUCAACAGCCGUGCGCCGCGAGGAUCCAUUGUUGCGGCUUAGGUCUUGAAGAAACGCAAAGAUAGGUAGGGGACUGUGGCCCUCAGAUUCUCGGGCAUCCGUCUUGGCAGUCUCGGAGUUUGUCAUUCCAUCAGCAUCUUCUUCCUCCCGGGUUCUGCGAGCUUCAUCAGCUCACCUUCAUUCUCACCCGGGUCAUCUCAUUCCGCAUUCUCUCGGUCCUUGCGGCCAUUCUUGUGGCCCAGAGUUUUGUCUCCCCAUUGUGUCCCCUCGUCUGUUGUCUGGUGUGUCACGGGUGUCUGGGUGUAGUUGUCCCGGAGCUGCUCUGCCCUCCUGCCCAGCCUGGGUGUAGGUGUAAAGGGACAAGUCCCAGGCCCCUGUAAUUUGAAAUUUGUGAUGUAGGUUUUACUUUGGAAUCUAGAGAGUAUUCCUAGAUGGACACAAGAUGUCUGGAGCUGUGAAGUUAUCCUGCAGCACUUUGACUUUUGUCUUAGCUUUCUAAGCAUUUCAUUAUUUGCUGCCCAAUGUGGGGUUCAAAAGAGUGAGAAAAACCUAUACUGAUUACGUUAUAUUGGUACUUUCUGUGUGUUUUGAUAAAGGACUUUGUGAUGGUGUUACUUAAGUUCUUGUCUCUCAGGGUGGAGGUCUUUAUGUAAUUCUAGUCUCUGAGCUUUUUUUGAGGUUUUAAUGCCUUUCUUGUCCCUAAGUUUAUUUUCUUAUCCAAAAAUAACUCCAAUACUGUCCCUACUACAUAAUUUUCGCAGUAAAAGAGCACAGAUUAAAAUAGCUGUUAUGCUAAGCUCAGUAAUAAUGACUGAUGAAAACCUUUUAAAAGUACUGAAGUUUGUACCAAGUAGCUUUAGUUUGUAGUUUCUUUGUCCUCCCCUACAUCCCAAUCACAGUAACAUGUUUUAAAAGUGUAUUAGUAAUUAUACCCAGUUUAGUAGAAGAGCAGCAAAAACCCCACUACACUCUUUUUACUAAUAAUUCAUACCACAUCAUAAAAGUAAAACAAAACACAAAAAACUAUAGAAAACGUAACACAACCAAAUCUACUUUAAAAAACUCAACUUACUAAACACAAAGCCAUUCAAUGAGCCCUAAACAUUACUAAAAAAACCUAACCAAAUUGCUACCUUCUAAUUCAUAAAUAAUAAUCAAUGCUCUAUAAAAAUAACUAAAGACCUCAUUAACAAUAAAAAAGAUUAAACUACUGAAAAAUAAGAAAUC